rnacentral:rRNA from 1 species
AGAAAUCAACCGAGAUUCCCAAAGUAGCGGCGAGCGAAAUGGGAAGAGCCUGUACGUGAUAGUCGGACCGAUAACAGAAUCCUCUGGAAAUAGGAGCCAUAGUGGGUGAUAGCCCCGUAUGUGAAAUCGGACCGGUGAUACUAAGCGUACGACAAGUAGGGCGGGACACGUGACAUCCUGUCUGAAUAUGGGGGGACCAUCCUCCAAGGCUAAAUACUCGUAAUCGACCGAUAGUGAACCAGUACCGUGAGGGAAAGGCGAAAAGAACCCCGGAAGGGGAGUGAAAUAGAUCCUGAAACCGUGUGCAUACAAACAGUAGGAGCGGACUUGUUCCGUGACUGCGUACCUUUUGUAUAAUGGGUCAGCGACUUACAUUCAGUGGCAAGGUUAACCGCAUAGGGAAGCCGUAGAGAAAUCGAGUCCGAAUAGGGCGAUCAGUCGCUGGGUGUAGACCCGAAACCAAGUGAUCUACUCAUGGCCAGGAUGAAGGUGCGGUAACACGCCCUGGAGGUCCGAACCCAC